rnacentral:rRNA from 1 species
UGGGGAAUUUUGGACAAUGGGGGCAACCCUGAUCAGCCAUGCCGCGUGAGUGAAGAAGGCCUUCGGGUUGUAAAGCUUUCAGCCGGAACGAAACGGUUACGGUUAAUACCCGUGACUACUGACGGUACCGGAAGAAGAAGCACCGGCUAACUACGUG